GCCGGAAUAGCUCAGUUGGGAGAGCGUUAGACUAAAAAUCUAAAGGCCCCCGGUUCAAUCCAAGGUUCCGGCA